rnacentral:lncRNA from 1 species
AUCCUGAUUGGAGGUCGAUCUUUAGGCUGUUCUUCCCUCCUUGGUGGCUCUGGUUGUGGUAGGGCCCUCAGCCGAUCUUCCCUACCUUCAGGCUAACGUCGGAUGAAUCUGUUGAACCGACCUUAUCUGAUGAGCUCCUCGAUCUCAUCUCAGAGCUGAAUACACUCCUCUGUGUCGUGGCCAUGGUCAUGAUGAUAGAGGCAGAACUUGUUAGGGUUGCUCUUCUCGGGGUGUGUGUGCAUCUUUUUUGACCUUGGCAACUACUCCC